rnacentral:rRNA from 1 species
CCAGACUCCUACGGGAGGCAGCAGUGAGGAAUAUUGGUCAAUGGACGCAAGUCUGAACCAGCCAAGUAGCGUGCAGGAUGACGGCCCUCCGGGUUGUAAACUGCUUUUAGUUGGGAAUAAAAGGGGGCUCGUGAGCCCCGUAUUGUAUGUACCAUCAGAAAAAGGACCGGCUAAUUCCGUGCCAGCAGCCGCGGUAAUACGGAAGGUCCGGGCGUUAUCCGGAUUUAUUGGGUUUAAAGGGUGCGUAGGUUGUUGUAUAAGUUAGCGGUGAAAUACCGAUGCUCAACAUCGGGGCUUCCGCUAAUACUGUAGGACUAGAGAUCGGAUGCAGCAGGCGGAAUGUGUAGUGUAGCGGUGAAAUGCAUAGAUAUCACGCAGAACUCCGAUUGCGAAGGCAGCGCACCGGCGCCCUACUGACGCUCAGGCACGAAAGCGUGGGUAUCGAACAGGAUUAGAUACCCGAGUA